AGCAUCGUUAUGGGGCCAGAUUAUUGCAAUUAUGAAUUUUCAACGAGGAAUUCCUUGCAAGCCGUCUGUACAUAUUGUCCGUCGCUCCUAUUGGUUGAGUGACCUGGUAAAUAAUUCGAACGUCGCAGUGUUCAGAUCCUGAACGUUGCAGUGGAAAGUGUAGGGAACCGGAGAAGUUGUAACAAGGCUUCCGUAGGUGAACAUGCGGA
rnacentral:rRNA from 10 species